rnacentral:rRNA from 1 species
GACGAACGCUGGCGGCGUGCUUAACACAUGCAAGUCGAACGGAAAGGCCCUGCUUUUGUGGGGUGCUCGAGUGGCGAACGGGUGAGUAACACGUGAGUAACCUGCCCUUGACUUUGGGAUAACUUCAGGAAACUGGGGCUAAUACCGGAUAGGAGCUCCUGCUGCAUGGUGGGGGUUGGAAAGUUUCGGCGGUUGGGGAUGGACUCGCGGCUUAUCAGCUUGUUGGUGGGGUAGUGGCUUACCAAGGCUUUGACGGGUAGCCGGCCUGAGAGGGUGACCGGCAACAUUGGGACUGAGAUACGGCCCAGACUCCUACGGGAGGCAGCAGUGGGGAAUAUUGCACAAUGGGCGGAAGCCUGAUGCAGCAACGCCGCGUGCGGGAUGACGGCCUUCGGGUUGUAAACCGAUUUCGCAUGUGACGAAGCGUGAGUGACGGUAAUGGGUAAAGAAGCACCGGCUAACUACGUG